CUCCGAUGACUCGGCGGGCAGCUUCCGGGAAACCAAAGCUUUUGGGUUCCGGGGGAAGUAUGGUUGCAAAGCUGAAACUUAAAAGAAUUGAUGAAAGGGCACCACUAGGAGUGGAGCCUGCGGCUUAAUUUGACUCAACACGGGAAACCUCACCAGGCCCGGACACCGGAAGGAUUGACAGAUUGAGAACUCUUUCUUGAUUCGGUGGGUGGUAGUGCAUGGCCGUUCUUAGUCGGUGGAGCGAUUUGUCUGGUUAAUUCUGAUAACAAACGAGAAUCUAGCCUGCUAAAUGGGUGUACUUUCCGGUACCUCGAAGGCCCGCCGGCUCGGCUUCGGUCGCUGUUGCGGGUGGUUUUUACUACCGGCGUACACAUAUAUCUUCUUAGAGGGACAAGUGGCAUUUAGUCGCUCGAAAUUGAGCAAUAACAGGUCUGUGAUGCCCUUAGAUGUUCUGGGCCGCACGCACGCUACACUGAAGGGAUCAGCACGUUUUCCUUGGCCGAAAGGUCCGGGUAAUCCGUUGAAGCCCCUUCGUCCUAGGGAUUGGGGCUUGCAAUUGGGUCUUCCCCAUGAACGAGGAAUUCCCAGUAAGCGCGAGUCAUAAGCUUGCGUUGAUCACGUCCCUGCUUUUUGUAUACACCGCCCGUCGUUACUACCGAUUGAAUUAUUUAGUGAGGUCUUCGGACCGGUGCGCGGCGGCGUCGUAUGACAUUACCGAUGAUGCUGGGAAGAUGACCAAACUUGAUUAUUUAGAGCAAGUAAAAGUCAUAAUAAGGUUUUCGUAGAUAAACCUGCGGAAGGAUCAUUAACGUA
rnacentral:rRNA from 1 species